UGAAAGCUCCAUUGGGAAAGUUUCCCUUUCCUCCUCCUUGCUUCACAUCUAUACCUUGUAUUAUAUACUAUUCCACUGCAACUUGAUCGCAAUUCAACAUUAAUCAGGGCAGUAUACAGAAACUGGAAGAGCUAUUCACCUCUGCAACAGAUUUGAAAGUUACAGCUAAGUUCAGAUAAGCAUGUUCACUUUCCAGGACUUGUCUGAAACCUCCAGAACUUUUGAUCCUGCGUACCAAGAUUUUCCAACCCCAUGGUGCACUCUUAGUGCACAAAACUGCAAGGAAGCUCAGUAAAAUUAAACAUUUUAAAAGACAAUUUAGUAGGAUGUAGUGAAGGGACCAUUGUUCAUAUACAUCUUCAGUAUUUUACUGUAAUAUCCCAGGCAAUACAGCUCAUAAAGUGAUACCACAGUAUUUUGGACUAUUGCAUCCUUUUAUUUUGACAUGAUGUGUCCUGCUGAGACCUAUCUGCUAUAAUGAAGAAAGGAGCAAGCCAUCUGGCCACCUUCUGACUGAAGAGGACCUUUGGUGGGAGAGGGAAGUGGGCCAACUUGCAAUCCUUGAACAGAAGGCCUGCUACUGGAGGUUUCAGCAAAACAAACCAAAAGAACGACGAGUGUCAGAAUAGAAAAUGGAAGAAUAAAGUCAGCUUUGAAGUCUACCUGUACAUCUGCAGUGCAGUGUCAACUCUGAGCUCAUUUUGAAAUCAAAGAAUGAUCACACAAAAUUCCAAGCAAUCAGACACAGAUUGCUACAUGGAGACUUCACAUCAAGUUCUUUCUUUGUAGCAAGGAAACAAAGGGAAAAUCCAUCUUCAGUCAAAGAAUGGUGUACAGGGAAACCAGAUAUCAAAUGCUUCCUGUUUCUGAGAAGAGAUGUAAUAUUCUGUGAAUGACUGACCCAACUUUGACCUUGAUCAUGGGAAGAGAUUUGUUUUGGUAGGCUGCUGUAGCCAGCUACCUGAAGAGAGGUUUGGGAAUCUUACCAGAGGGAGUUCUCAACACUGCACAUUUGUUUGGGUGGAGAUACUGUUGCAGAUAGGAUAUUGCCAUGUAUUUAGAUUGCAUGAUUAAUUAUUUAUUCUGAUUUUAAUGUAUUUAAUACAUAAGUAUUUAUGGCUUCUUGAACAUAAGGUGAAAUCCUACAAAUAGUACUUUCACUGAUGGGAUUUCUAUAAUAAACACAAAACCUGCAUUAGAACAACAGUAAGGAUUUUAAUUAUACACAACCCAAGAAAUUCAAAUUUAAGAUUUCUCACUCCAUAUAUACAUACAUACUGUUGACCCUAGGUAAUUCGGAGGUCUGAGAAAAAUGUACCAUGUGUACUGUAUUGUCUGGUAUAGAGGCAUGAGUAAAGCACAAUGAGAAAUGUUAGUUGGAUUUCCAGGCAUUUAACAAGACAUUUACAUUAUUUUAGUUAGUUCUUUGUGUGCAACUUCCUGUUUUUGAUUUUAUUUUAAAAUCAGGAGUGCAAUAAAAGAAAGGAGGAAGAUGGACAAAAUGGAAUUUAGCACAGAAAUGGAAUGGAAGUUAUGGAAGCGGGUAUUUUGGUUUAUUUUUCACUUCAAACAUCUACUGUAUAGUAAUAGAACUAAUUGUCAAACUGCCAAUGUUCCAAACCACUGUGACAGUGAUUAAUUCGUGUUUGAAAUUUUCAAUCAAACUCUUCUUCAGAUCUGUAGUUGUUUGUUGCUAGGAGGUCUGACAAUAAAGUAUACAUUUAAAGUGUGGAACAAGCACAUGAUCCUGCAUCUGUUUUGCAUCCAAACCUACCACUGUCUUCAAAGAGAGUUAUAUAGGUGUACAAAGAGAUCAGACCCAGACCCCAAGAGAGAAAGCAGAAUAUUGGACAGUAUAUUAACAACAUUCUGCAACAUAAAUGGGUACCAAAUGUAAUCUUCACUCCCUUCAUUAAGUAGUAGUAGAUAAUGGGCCCUAGUCAAAGUUCAUACAUCCUUCUUCUCUAUAUAUUCCUAUGAUGUAUAUGUGUACAAUUCACACGAUUCCAGAUGGUAAUCUCAUUGACACAUACUUGAGUGCAUGCAGUUGGUCACCUUCUUUGCACAUUCUUUACUUUAUGUAUAUGCACAAAUCCCAGAUUUACACAUGCAAUGGCCUAUAUAGGUAUCUCUUGGAAAGCUGUGUACACAUGUAAAUAGGGUGUGCAAACACUAGGCCUGCAAUUGAACAUGCACAGAUGGGAAUGUGACUGAUUCUUGAAGAGCAGGCCUUAAAAGCUAUUUCUGGGGGCAAAACUGCAGUUAAGGUUGCAAAGUGGUUUCUAGUAGAAUCCCUUGAUUAACACAUUAGAAUCUGUAUCUGUCUCUCUCUCUCCAGCAUUUGUGAAUGAUUUUCCACAUUGCAAGAAGUGUAAAUUUUGUAACUGAUUCAACAAAUGAAAUGAAUUUCACAACUCUGACUGUUGCUAGCCAGCUGAUGAAAACAAAAAUAAACUCAAAUUUAUCUUUGAAA